ACAUUAUAUGAUUGUGUCUGUCGGGUUUCUAACUUGGGGAAAUUGUCCGAUAUCACGUCCGUAAGUUAAAGAGCUUGUCAAUCUCCUACUGUCUUGCUGGGGCUGGGACAGCUUGACAGAAACUUCAAUACAAUCUGCUAAGAUCAGUCUUUCUUAAGACUUGAGAAAAUUCAAUUCUCUGCCUAAACUAUAUGGAGUACAAAUUCAAUAUUCUGCAAAUUGAUGGAGAGUAAAAGUCUUUUAGUAAGGCUAUUUUAAUGGCUUUCUAAAGUGAUUGGAAAAGGGAGUAUUGUCCGACUGGUUUGUUUUAGCUGGGACAGCAUGUUUAACAUUCAAUAUUCUGUUACUAUAGAGAAAACUUCAAUCUCUGCUAAGAUUAGUCUUUGUUAAGGCUUAGGACAAUGAUGUCCUGAGAAAAUUCAGUAUUUCUGCUAAGAUUAGUCUUUAUUAAGGCUUGGACAAUGAAUGAUGUUCUGAGAAAAUUCAAUAUCUCUGCUAAAUUAGUCUUUGUUAAGGCUUGGACAAUGAUGUCCUGAGAAAAUUCAACAUUUCUGCUAAGAUUAGUCUUUGUUAAGGCUUGGACAAUGAUGUCAUGAGAAAUUCAAUUCUCUGUUUAAACUAUAUGGAGUACAAUUCAAUAUUCUGCAAAUUGAUGGAGAGUAAAGGUUCUUUAAUAAGGCUUGUUUAAUGGCUUUCUAAACACAAGCUAGAUGUGCUUGUAGCAGAGAUUAGUGUCUCUUCUUUUGAUCAGCUUCAGAAGACCAAGAACUGGAGUGUGUACAUGAUCUUUCUCAGGUUCGACUUAUCUCCCUCGGUUUUGAAUGUCAUUUUGUUAUUGGUUAUGUUUGAAUUGUUUAGUGGUAAGGUUGUCGGAGACUAGCUUUUCGGUAACUUCUGGUGCACAACAGGAUUAGCUGAACGAGCAGGUAUGUUUUUGAAUCCUAUUAACUGUUUCUUCUUAAGAAAAAUUCCUUAUAAGAUUUCUUCUCUACGUUUCUGUUUCAACAACUUUUGUCUCCGAAAAAGAAAACUUUGGUUUCUCAGGUACAUACUUCUCGAUACUCAAUAGUAUUAGUGGUAGUAAGGUACAUCCUCUGUAUAUUGCAUCUGGUGCAUAGCAGGGAUAAAUUUUUGUAGUAGUAGUAGUAAGAUGACUUUGUCUAAAGGCUUGAGUUUAGACACUAUAAGGGUAGUCAAGAAUGAUAUCUCAUGGUUUUUCAAUAUCAUCUAUUUCUUUUUGGACUAACAUCACUAUAUUUAUGGCUAAUACUCAAUAUACCAAAGUUGUAAGAAACGAAAUAAAUCUCGGUUAGGGGAACUUACCGCUUGCAAUCCCCUGAAGUUUUCUUUACAUAUAUAUCUUUAGUACCAUUUGCAGAAUCAAAAUUUGACAUUUUUGUAUGUUAACUUCACAUUUGUCUUUGGGCUAACAAAUUUAUGGCUUUAUUGCAGAAAACAUAAUAUAGUUUUCGACCCCUUUUCAAGCAUGAUUUGAGUCUUGAAUCUAAUUAUUCCUGCAAGUUAUGUUUAUGUCAAAGACUCUUAAUCGUUCAAUGUGAUAUGGUAGUUUAUGAAUAAGGCAUCUUUGGUGGUCGCGGUGUGUACAUGAAUGAUCUAAAAUCUUAGGAACUAUGUGUGUUUUUAUCUCCCCAAGUCCAUGCGACACUAAACUACUCCCUUUGUCAUCUAAGACUUGCCUUUGAAUAACAACAUUGUGAGAGGCAUAAUUGGAGUUUAUGCGGUACACAUCAUCUUCAACACUCCUCCUUCCAAGUGGACUGUUUGCUUUAGGAUUAAUUAAAACCUCAAUUAAGCUGCUCCAGUGCUCCCACAUCUCUAAUGCCAACACUGAUACAAACAUAAACGCAUUACACCAACACCCACAUACAUGAAAAAACGUAAACUUAAAAAAAAAUAAACGAAAAAUUUGUGCCCACACUGAUACAAACAUAAACACGUUUCACGGACACAUACCAUAAAUGUAAGCGCAAGCGCAAGCGUUAACGCUAAUACUUGAUCACAAAUGCAAAAGAAAAAAUGAACAUGAACUGAUUAAGUCGUUAAUUAAUCAGUAAAGAAAGUGAUAGACACAAGACAUAAUUGAGUUUCUUUUCUUGUUAAUACACACAGUCACACACAUUCACAUACAUCAUUCGAAAUUUCAGAAGUACGCAGAGAUAGAUACAACAGAAUUAGGAACGAGUGCUUUGCUCAAUCUACUUUGUCUCUCUCCGUCUCUCAAGAUCAAACUUCAUCAACAGGUUCAAGUUUUGAUGGUUCGUAAGCUUGAUAUGACGUUGCUAAUGACUAUGAGGGCCUAUGAUCGUCUUGUGGUUUCUCUCCAUUGCUUCCUCUGUAAUAAACCACCCCUUAUUUUCUGUCUCACCACAUAUGACUCCUUCACUAUGGAUGCAUCAAUGGCUCUUGACGUAUCUUGUUUCACCUGUAAAGGGAAAUCACAUCAUCAUUAUCUUUACAAUCAAACAUAUGGUUGAGAUUAUAAGAUACAAGUUGCCACAAAUAAACAUAAGAGCAACGCAAAACCUCUUGUUUGGAUGGAACGGUGCGUCGAUUUUCCCUGGUAUUUGUAAAGAUUGAAAUAAACCACUCCAACCUGAUUGUGAAGUUGUACCUUGUUGUG